UUUGAUAAAGACGUGUCUCUUGGUUUGUUUGUUAUAAUAUUGUGGGUUAAGGAUCAAGAGCAUAUGGUAUAAUGAUUUAUUAUUGAUAAUAAAUUCAUUAUAUUAAUUUUUAUAAAUUGACCUCAAAUCAGGCAAGACUACCUGCUGAACUUAAGCAUAUCAGUAAGCAGAGGAAAAGAAAACAACUGUGAUUCCCUUAGUAACUGCGAGUGAAGCGGGAUAAGCCCAUCGUUUAAUCUUCUUGGACCUAGUUCAAGACGAAAUGUAACGGUAUGGAUAGGUUCUCUACUAAGAAUGUCUAGUCAAAGUCCUCCGGAUUGAGGUGCCAUAGAGGGUGACAGCCCCGUAUGUGACUAGAUAAACUUAGGUAUGUGACCAAAUCCGAGAGUCGGGUUGUUUGGGACUGCAACCUAAAGUAGGUGGUAAACUCCACCCAAGGCUAAAUAUAGACACGAAACCGAUAGCGAACAAGUACUGUGAGGGAAAGUUGAAAAGAACUCUGAAAAGAGAGUUAAAAGUACGUGAAACCGCUAACGGGGAAGCGGAAGGCAGUGUCGAGAUUCUGUGAGUGAGAUAUUAUAUGUUUAAGGGUAUAUGUUGUUGUUGAUAAUGUGCCAAUAUACAUGUAUUAUCUAGCUUGGCAGAAUGCGUCAGAUCUAUUGGUAUUAACAUGAUUAAAUUAUUUGAUUGGCUUGUACGACGCCUAUAUACUUGUAUAUGGGUCCGUAUUUGUAAUAGAUAAUCCGUCAUGUGUACUAAUAUGUAUGUGAUGAAGCGUUAGUGAUUUAUUAUCGGUUGAGAGUUUGUAGUGCUGUGUAUUGAUUGCAGUGUAGUUAGUAUGGAGAAACUACAAAAUUUUCAACAACUAAUGCUAGUAUCUGACGAGAUACCUAACCUUCCGACCCGUCUUGAAACACGGACCAAGGAGGCAGAAUCUAGAGCAAGUUGGAGGGUGUAAAACCCGACGGCGUAGUGAAAGCAAUAGAUGAGAUCUACUAACUUUGGUUGGUAGCGCAUCAUCGGCCAGUCAUUAUACAAUGAUUGAGUUAGAGCUCUAGGUGCUGGACCCGAAAGAUGGUGAACUAUGCGUGAGCAGGGUGAAGCCAGAGGAAACUCUGGUGGAAGCUCGAAGCGAUUCUGACGUGCAAAUCGAUCGUUUGACUUGCGUAUAGGGGCGAUAGACUAAUCGAACCAUCUAGUAGCUGGUUCCCUUCGAAAUAUCCCUCAGGAUCGCUGAGACAAGUGAUAAACAGUUUCAUCGGGUAGAGCGAAUGAUUAGAGGAAUCGGGGAUAUAUUACUCUCGACCUAUUCUCAAACUAUCAACCGGUGAGAACAUUGUUUUUCUUGUUUGAAACAAUGUGUAUGAAUGUUGUUGUCUCAAGUGGGCCAUUUUUGGUAAGCAGAACUGGCGAUGCGGGAUGAACCGAGAGUCGAGCUAAGGUGCCUAAGGACACGUUGAUAGAUACCACAAAAGGAGUCGGUCGAUAAAGACAGCAGGGCGGUGGCCCUGAAAGUAGGAAUCCGCUAAGGAGUGUCUAACAACUCACCUGCCGAAUCGACCGGCCCUGAAAAUGGAUGGCGCUGAAGCGUGUCACCGAUGCUCGACCUCUACCACGAGAGAUGUUGGUAGAGGGUAGAAGGGCGCAGCGGUAGCGAUAAAGUACAAAGUGUAAACUUGUAUGGAGCUGCCGUUGGUGUAGAUCUUGGUGGUAGUAGCAAUUAUAAAAGUGAGUAAAAACCUUUUAGGCCGAAGUGGAGAAGGGUUCCACGUGAACAGCAGUUGGACGUGGGUUAGUCGGUCCUAAGCGGUUGCCUAACGGCUAUUUCAAUGCUGACUUGGUUAUUACGUGGUAAUUCAUGUAAAAAGUGAUGAACUGCGUAGUGUGACGUGGGUCAGAAUUCCGCGAAAGGGAAUCAGGUUAAUAUUCCUGAACCGGGCGAUGGAGACGCUUUUUGUCAGUAUUAUUCGUAAGAGUAGUGCUGCAAUUGGCUUAGCGGUAACGCAAACAAUCUCGGAGACGUUGAUAUCUAUGGCGGGGAGAAUUAUCUUUUCUGUAUAACAAGUCAACUACCUUGGAAUCGAGUCAUUCGGAGAUAAGGUAAUAAGCUUGGAAGAGCACCGCAAUUUUAUGCAGUGUCCGUACUAUAGAUAUCGGCCCUUGAAAAUCCGAGGGAGUGGUUAAAUUUCACGCCCGUCCGUACCGAAUCCGCAUCAGGUCUCCAAGGUGUGCAGCCUCUGGCACUGGAACAAUGUAGGUAAGGGAAGUCGGCAAAAUAGAUCCGUAACUUUGGGAAAAGGAUUGGCUCUAAGGGCCGGGCCAAUCGAGCUAGUAUUGCCUAGGCUAGUGGGGGUUGAACGGGGUCUAUCUAGAUGCAUGUAAAAGUGUUAUUUGGAUGGAUCUGGUGAAGCAAACGCUGGCCCUGGAAUACCUGUGUGAACUUGUAUUGGCAGAUUGAUUGUUGGUGUAGCAGUUUGCUUAAUUGUGGAUUGUUAUGCUGGCAAUUCGGGCUGUUGAUAGGGUUCUUUACGAGUGGCAAGCAUCGGUCAGCUUAGAACUGUUACUAACUAGGGGAAUCCGACUGUUUAAUUAAAACAAAGCAUUGCGAUGGCCGGAAACGGUGUUGACGCAAUGUGAUUUCUGCCCAGUGCUCUGAAUGUCAAAGUGCGGAAACGCAACCAAGCACGGGUAAACGGCGGGAGUAACUAUGACUCUUUGAAGGUAGCCAAAUGCCUCGUCAUCUAAUUAGUGACGCGCAUGAAUGGAU
rnacentral:rRNA from 1 species